UAUCUCUGUAGAGUCUGCAUAUCAAUAAGCGGAGGAAAAGAAACUAACUAGGAUUCCCUCAGUAACGGCGAGUGAAGCGGGAAGAGCUCAAAUUUGAAAUCUUCAAGGUUCUACCUUGACGAAUUGUAGUUUAAAGAAGUGUUUUCUGUUGAAGUUUCGGUAAAAGUUCUUUGGAAUAGGACAUCAUAGAGGGUGAGAAUCCCGUAUUUGACCAGUUAUUUUCCAGCUGUGUGAUACACUUUCAAAGAGUCGGAUUGUUUGGGAAUGCAGUCCAAAAUGGGUGGUAAAUUUCAUCUAAAGCUAAAUACUGGCGAGAGACCGAUAGCGAACAAGUACCGUGAGGGAAAGAUGAAAAGAACUUUGAAAAGAGAGUUAAACAGUACGUGAAAUUGUCAAAAGGGAAGCGUUUGACACCAGUGUUGUUUUCUCGAAAAUCAAUUAAAAAUGGUGGGAUUUUGUGUUGUAUUGACUUUAUCAGCUUUCUGCACUUUUUUCCUAUCUUUUUUAAUGCACUUUUCGUUUAACAAGUCAACAUCAAUUUCUUCUGUUGUAAAAGAGUCAUUGGAAGGUGGCUUUCUUUUCGGAGAAAGUGUUUAUAGCCUUUGACUUCUGCAAUCGGAGAGAUUGAGGUCUGCAGCGUAGAUCCUUCGGGGUUAGAUGCAUUUGUGCUAAGCUAUAGCCUUUCAUAGACAACUUGUUGACUAUGAUCAGUCAUGUAGCUUACAUCGCUUAUGUCAUUUUACCUACGCUUAGGAUGUUGAUGUGAUACUGCGAGCA
rnacentral:rRNA from 1 species